UACGAAGGGUGCAAGCGUUAAUCGGAAUUACUGGGCGUAAAGCGUGCGCAGGCGGUUCGGAAAGAGAGGUGUGAAAUCCCAGGGCUUAACCUUGGAACUGCAUUUUUAACUGCCGGGCUAGAGUAUGUCAGAGGGGGGUAGAAUUCCACGUGUAGCAGUGAAAUGCGUAGAGAUGUGGAGGAAUACCGAUGGCGAAGGCAGCCCCCUGGGAUAAUACUGACGCUCAUGCACGAAAGCGUGGGGAGCAAACAGG
rnacentral:rRNA from 1 species